GGAUUGAUGUGCACAUUGGCACUGGUUGCUCGACUAAAAUCACAGAUGAAACAAAGAUGGAGGAAACCAUGAAAUGGACUGCCACGGUGGAUGACGUCACGUGGGCGAUAUCUCCGUUGAUAUUUGGUGUUUGAGUUGAUAUUUUUUUCUAUCUGAGAUCACCAAAAAACGAUUCUGUGAAUAGCGCAACUGACACGUGCUAAAGAGACUAGUGCUUUGCAGAUCUGAGAAAUGAGAUAAAAAGGAAAGGAGAACGAUAUAUAAAAUUCAAACUUUUCCCACGUAUAUCUUUUUCCAAAAAUCUGGAAGGAAGGAAACCUCCUUAACAGGGACGCUUGAAUGGUGCUAGACGCCCACACUGACAGUAUCCUUGUUCCUUCAGCCAAUUUUUGCCAAGAGAAUGCUCGCCUACUAAGAAUACCUCGGAUUCCCCGCACCCGUCGAUGAUGAAAAGGUCACUGGGGCCUUUCAUCUUAAUGAAAAGCCUCUUGACGCUGCCGUCUUUUGACUUCCUUUUCCUCAAUUUCCCAAAACCAACGAACCGCGUCAUUGGUCCUCAUGGACGAAUCAAUCGUGCACGAGACGGGGGACGCGCUGCCAGACCAACUUAUACACUAGCUUCAUAAUUAACUGUUCGAGGAUUCCGGCAGCAGUUAGGCAACAUGGUGAGGGCUAAUCAGCACUCUGAAGUUGUGACCGGAGAAUUAACAUAUGUUACGCGGAAUGCUCGGAUGUGCACGAAAGGAAAUCUCAAGACUCCGGGAUAAUGUGCGAACUUAAUAAGGAAUUGGUACUCUUUUGUUCGCGGCGAGGCGAGGAAGGUGGUGACUGGUGAGAUCCAAGAGCUGGACGGUGCCUUGUCGGGAAAACAAGUUCACUCAACCAUCAACCAUCAGCUUCCUCGCGAAGCUGCGACUCCACGACUCCGCAAAGCUAGCGACUGAUUCCUCGAUCCUCCCUCGAAGAUUGCCAGUUUUGAAAGCCGUGGUCUGAUUAAUGCGGUGCAUGGUUUCUCCUAAAAUUUCAUUUAAGAUUUUCCUAAUUUUUCCUUAAAUUUUAAUGAAAUUUCAUGAUUUUGUUUUUGCAAAUAAAUUGACACACGAUUUAUUCGACAAAUCGACA
rnacentral:lncRNA from 1 species